rnacentral:lncRNA from 1 species
ACAUUGCUAAUUAAUAUUAAAAGAUAAAUUUUUUAAAUCGUAUGAAAAUAAUUAAAAAUUACUUAUUUGAAACUGAGGGACUACUAACUAAACAUAUCAAACUCUCAAAAGAUUCUGCAAAGCCAAACAACGUUGACUAAAUGACCAGAUUACUUUGACACUAUUCUACACUUUCUCGUAGUUUUCGGUGCCAUAUUUUAUUCUAAAGAAAAU